CAGGUGGUGCAUGGUUGUCGUCAGCUCGUGUCGUGAGAUGUUGGGUUAAGUCCCGCAACGAGCGCAACCCCUAUUAAUAGUUGCUAACAUUAAGUUGAGGACUCUAUUGAGACUGCCGGUGAUAAACCGGAGGAAGGUGGGGAUGACGUCAAAUCAUCAUGCCCCUUAUGACCUGGGCUACAAACGUGCUACAAUGGCCGGUACAAAGAGUUGCCAACCCGCGAGGGGGAGCUAACCUUUUAAAACCGGUCUCAGUUCGGAUCGAAGUCUGCAACUCGACUUCGUGAAGUUGGAAUCGCUAGUAAUCGUGGGUCAGCAUACCACGGUGAAUACGUUCCCGGAGAUUGUACACACCGCCCGUCAUACCACGAGAGUUUGUAACACCCGAAGUAAGUGGCCUAACCAAUUUAUUGGAGGGAGCUUCCUAAGGUGGGAUAGAUGAUUGGGGUAAAGUCGUAACAAGGUA
rnacentral:rRNA from 1 species